UACGUAGGGUGCAAGCGUUAAUCGGAAUUACUGGGCGUAAAGCGUGCGCAGGCGGUUUUGUAAGUCUGACGUGAAAUCCCCGGGCUCAACCUGGGAAUUGCGUUGGAGACUGCAAGGCUAGAAUCUGGCAGAGGGGGGUAGAAUUCCACGUGUAGCAGUGAAAUGCGUAGAGAUGUGGAGGAACACCGAUGGCGAAGGCAGCCCCCUGGAUCAAGAUUGACGCUCAUGCACGAAAGCGUGGGGAGCAAACAGG
rnacentral:rRNA from 1 species